GCAUGAAUGGUGUAGCGGUAACAUUCAACCCUUCCAUCGAGAAUAUUAGGUUGAGCUCGGGGUUCGACUCCCCGUUCAUGCA
rnacentral:tRNA from 1 species